rnacentral:rRNA from 1 species
ACCAACAUCCAUACCACGUUGAAUACACCGGUUCUCGUCCGAUCACCGAAGUUAAGCUACAUCGGGCGCGGUCAGUACUUGGAUGGGUGACCGCCUGGGAACACCGCGUGACGUUGGCU